UACGUAGGGUGCGAGCGUUGUCCGGAAUUAUUGGGCGUAAAGGGCUCGUAGGCGGUUUGUCGCGUCGGGAGUGAAAACACACAGCUUAACUGUGUGCUUGCUUCCGAUACGGGCAUGACUGGAGUUCGGCAGGGGAGACUGGAAUUCCUGGUGUAGCGGUGAAAUGCGCAGAUAUCAGGAGGAACACCGGUGGCGAAGGCGGGUCUCUGGGCCGAUACUGACGCUGAGGAGCGAAAGCGUGGGGAGCGAACAGG
rnacentral:rRNA from 1 species